rnacentral:rRNA from 2 species
CGUGAAACCGUCCAGGGAUAAACCUGGGGACCUUGGCAGUUCGAACGGGCGGGCAUUCAUCACUCCGGUGGUCGAUCGUCGGUUUUGCGCGUCGCAUCCGUGCGCGUCGCAUUGCCUGCACGGUGAAUCGGCGUACCGAGUGUGCAUUUGCUCUGCCCGAGUAGAAACACUGCGAGCCGUUGGAUGGGCGUCGAUGGUCGGCGACGAAGUUCGUUUCGGGGUUUCGGCCCCAUUUCGAGCGCGCCGCACCUGGCCUCGUCCGACGGUGAAUCGAUGACUCGAGCCCGCACCUCCGCGUGCGUUCGGCUCUCGACAAGCGGCGACGGUGUUCUUCCGGCAGUUCGGUGCUUCGGCCCCGACGUCGGACCCGUCACGUUAUUAGUCGAGAUGCUCUCGGACAGUGGCUUCGUCGUUCGCCAGUGAGUUUGGCCGCAGGCACCCUCAGGACCCGUCUUGAAACACGGACCAAGGAGUCUAGCAUGUAUGCGAGUCUCAAGGGAACGAUACACCCUCAGGCGCAGUUAACGCAAAUGACGCUUCGCGUCCUAAUGGAGGACGGGCGAUCGUGAGCGGUCGCCCCGCACUCCUGGGGCGUUCCGAUCUCGUUGAGAUGGAGCGCACCAAGAGCACACAUGCUGGGACCCGAAAGAUGGUGAACUAUGCCCGGUCAGAACGAAGUCAGGGGAAACUCUGAUGGAGGUUCGUAGCGAUUCUGACGUGCAAAUCGAUCGUAAGAACUGGGUAUAGGGGCGAAAGACUAAUCGAACCAUCUAGUAGCUG